UGGAGUGAGCUGAAGUUUAUUUAAAAAUGGAACAAUCCAGAGAACAUGCAUGUCUGAAAGAAUAUCCAAAAAACGUCUUGAACUAGAUGUCUUUAAGACGUUUUUCAAACAUUUUCAAAAGAUAUCAGAAAAUUCAAGUUUUAAAACAUGUUUCUACAACUAUACUAUUAUACAAAGCUAUCUGUAAACAUGUUGACAUAAGGAAGAAUGCAAAGCAGCAGAUGAAAUUAAGUGCAACAAUUUAUUAGAGACAUAAGCAAUUAUAGGCUUGCAUGAUUUUUGUGAGACAUGCUUGAUUAUCUGGGAC